GAAACAUGCAACUAACUCUUAGGAUUUCUAUUUUCCUAGCACAAGUUAGUAUAUCGUAACCAUUAGGUCUCAAGGACAUGACUCAUAUGAAGGAAAAAGAAACACUGCCAAGUAACGGAAGUCAUUAACCGCAUCCCAAUUCUAACUAAUGUUAAGCAUACAAGAAUUCAAAUAUUUAUUCCUGAUGUAUUCCACGGGUAGCAACCUCCUACUAGCUUUGGAACCACAACAGUCCAACUUCAUAUGACCCAUUAGCAUUAUCUACACUAGUAUCCUUCUAACUGGGCAUAAGCAUGAUAAAAUCAAACAUUUAAGAAGCUCCAUGCAUCAAAUUACCUCAGUAUCGUCAAUCCUGAACCAAUUGCCUCGUAGGUGUAGAUCCUUCACGUAGGAUAUGUAAUGCCCAGAAAAUGAUGCAUUUAAGGUAUCCAAGUGCACAACAACAGCAUAAAGCAUGUAAAGUGGAGGAAUGUCAUCUGUCCCGGUCAUAAAUGGGAUCAUAUCCAACAUAUCCGGAAAUGUGAUGCACUUAUUUAUCUUCCCAUAACUUCCUUCCUGAAAUCUCUUCAAGACAAUCGUUAAGAUAUUUGGAGCCUCCUGUAUGCUCAACUGUUUUUGUGCACGGACAUAACAAGCACACCUUCCACAUCUAUACAUAUUUUCCCCAUCAAGAUCUUCCGGGCUUGUAAACUGUGUCAAUGCAUCUUCAAGUGACUCAACCCAACCGAAGAUCUCCAAUGAGAGAUCCAUGAUAUUUUCAUAGCACGCCGAUUCAUGGUGGCAUCUCAGACACUUGACCUUAGAUCUAAGUCUUCCUCCGAAAGUGUGUUGUAUAAAGGUUGUUUGCUGCAAUCUUGGAUCAACAGCAUUUUCUCCACCUA
rnacentral:misc_RNA from 1 species